GAUGAACGCUGGCGGCGUGCCUAAUACAUGCAAGUCGAGCGAACAGACGAGGAGCUUGCUCCUCUGACGUUAGCGGCUGACGUGUGUGUAACACGUGGAUAACCUACCUAUAAUACUGGGAUAACUUCGGGAAACCGUUGCUCAUACCGGAUAAUAUAUUUAACCGCAUGGUUCAUUAUUGAAAUACGGUUUUUCUGUCUCUUAUAGAUGUUUCCGCGCCGCAUUAUCUAGUUGGUAAGGUAACGGCUUACCAAGGCGACGAUGCGUAGCCGACCUGAGAGGGUGAUCGGCCACACGGGAACUGAGACACGGACCAGACGACUACGGGAGGCAGCAGUAGGGAAUAUGCCGCAAUGGGCGAAAGCCUGACGGAGCAACGCCGCGUGAGUGAUGAAGGUCUUCGGAUCGUAAAACUCUGUUAUUAGGGAAGAAAAAAUGUGUAAGUAACUAUGCACGUCUUGACGGUAACUAAUCAGAAAGCCACGGCUAACUACGUG
rnacentral:rRNA from 1 species